rnacentral:rRNA from 1 species
UACUAGAGUAGCACUCGCAUAUCAAUAAGCGGAGGAAAAGAAACUAACAAGGAUUCCCCUAGUAACGGCGAGUGAAGCGGGAAGAGCUCAAAUUUGAAAUCUUAAAGGGUUUCCCUUUACGAAUUGUAGUUUAAAGAAGUGUUUUCUGUUGAGGUUUUGGUAAAAGUUCUUUGGAAUAGGACAUCAUAGAGGGUGAGAAUCCCGUAUUUGACCUUUACUUUCAACUUUGUGAUACACUUUCAAAGAGUCGGAUUGUUUGGGAAUGCAGUCCAAAAUGGGUGGUAAAUUUCAUCUAAAGCCUAAAUAUUGGCGAGAGACCGAUAGCGAACAAGUACCGUGAGGGAAAGAUGAAAAGAACUUUGAAAAGAGAGUUAAACAGUACGUGAAAUUGUCAAAAGGGAAGCGUUUGACACCAGUGUUGUUUUUCUGAAAAUCAAUUAAAGAACUGUUUAUGCUAAGCUUGUUUAGACUUUAUCAGCUAUCUGUUUAGUUUUGAGCUUUUCUUUAAUGCACUUUUCAGUUAACAAGUCAACAUCAAUUUCUUUUGCUGUAAAAAAGCUUGAGGAAGGUGGCUUGAGAUUCGUCUUAAGUGUUUAUAGCCUCUUGCCUAUGCAGUCGGAGAGAUUGAGGUCUGCAGCGUAGAUCCUUCGGGGCUAAAUGCAUUUGUGCUAAGUUAUAGCAUUUUAUAGACAACUUGUUGACUAUGAUUAGUCUUGUAGCUUACUCGCUUAUGUUAUUUUACCUACGCUUAGGAUGUUGAUCUACAGAGCGAGAGU